rnacentral:rRNA from 1 species
GCUCAGGACGAACGCUGGCGGCGUGCCUAAUACAUGCAAGUCGAGCGGACAGAAGGGAGCUUGCUCCCGGAUGUUAGCGGCGGACGGGUGAGUAACACGUGGGUAACCUGCCUGUAAGACUGGGAUAACUCCGGGAAACCGGAGCUAAUACCGGAUAGUUCCUUGAACCGCAUGGUUCAAGGAUGAAAGACGGUUUCGGCUGUCACUUACAGAUGGACCCGCGGCGCAUUAGCUAGUUGGUGAGGUAACGGCUCACCAAGGCGACGAUGCGUAGCCGACCUGAGAGGGUGAUCGGCCACACUGGGACUGAGACACGGCCCAGACUCCUACGGGAGGCAGCAGUAGGGAAUCUUCCGCAAUGGACGAAAGUCUGACGGAGCAACGCCGCGUGAGUGAUGAAGGUUUUCGGAUCGUAAAGCUCUGUUGUUAGGGAAGAACAAGUGCAAGAGUAACUGCUUGCACCUUGACGGUACCUAACCAGAAAGCCACGGCUAACU